rnacentral:rRNA from 1 species
AAGUCGAGCGGACAGAUGGGAGCUUGCUCCCUGAUGUUAGCGGCGGACGGGUGAGUAACACGUGGGUAACCUGCCUGUAAGACUGGGAUAACUCCGGGAAACCGGGGCUAAUACCGGAUGGUUGUUUGAACCGCAUGGUUCAAACAUAAAAGGUGGCUUCGGCUACCACUUACAGAUGGACCCGCGGCGCAUUAGCUAGUUGGUGAGGUAACGGCUCACCAAGGCAACGAUGCGUAGCCGACCUGAGAGGGUGAUCGGCCACACUGGGACUGAGACACGGCCCAGACUCCUACGGGAGGCAGCAGUAGGGAAUCUUCCGCAAUGGACGAAAGUCUGACGGAGCAACGCCGCGUGAGUGAUGAAGGUUUUCGGAUCGUAAAGCUCUGUUGUUAGGGAAGAACAAGUACCGUUCGAAUAGGGCGGUACCUUGACGGUACCUAACCAGAAAGCCACGGCUAACUACGUGCCAGCAGCCGCGGUAAUACGUAGGUGGCAAGCGUUGUCCGGAAUUAUUGGGCGUAAAGGGCUCGCAGGCGGUUUCUUAAGUCUGAUGUGAAAGCCCCCGGCUCAACCGGGGAGGGUCAUUGGAAACUGGGGAACUUGAGUGCAGAAGAGGAGAGUGGAAUUCCACGUGUAGCGGUGAAAUGCGUAAAGAUGUGGAGGAACACUGUGGCGAAUGCGACUCUCUGGUCUGUAACUGACGCUGAGGAGCGAAGGCGUGGGGAUCGCCCCCCACUCCC